rnacentral:rRNA from 1 species
GAUGAACGCUGGCGGCGUGCUUAACACAUGCAAGUCGAACGAUGAAGCCCAGCUUGCUGGGUGGAUUAGUGGCGAACGGGUGAGUAACACGUGAGUAACCUGCCCUUAACUCUGGGAUAAGCCUGGGAAACUGGGUCUAAUACCGGAUAGGAGCGUCCACCGCAUGGUGGGUGUUGGAAAGAUUUAUCGGUUUUGGAUGGACUCGCGGCCUAUCAGCUUGUUGGUGAGGUAAUGGCUCACCAAGGCGACGACGGGUAGCCGGCCUGAGAGGGUGACCGGCCACACUGGGACUGAGAGACGGCCCAGACUCCUACGGGGGGCAGCGGUGGGGAAUAUUGCACAAUGGGCGCAAGCCUGAUGCAGCGACGCCGCGUGAGGGAUGACGGCCUUCGGGUUGUAAACCUCUUUCAGUAGGGAAGAAGCGAAAGUGACGGUACCUGCAGAAGAAGCACCGGCUAACUACGUG